CACCAGCGCCACAAGUGGCAACCGCUUUUAUUGGGCCUAAAGCGUCCGUAGCCGGUUCAGUAAGUUUCCUGUGAAAUCGUUGGGCUUAACCUAACGCCGUGCAAGAAAGACUACUGGACUAGGGACCGGGAGGCGUCAGAGGUAUUCCUGAGGGAGCGGUAAAAUGCUAUAAUCUCGGGAGGACCACCUGUGGCGAAAGCGUCUGACGAGAACGGAUCCGACGGUGAGGGACGAAAGCUAGGGGAGCAAACCGGAUUAGAUACCCGUGUA
rnacentral:rRNA from 1 species